AAAGCGGCUAACAUUCUCCUUUCCCUUCCUCCCCCACAACAAGCACUCUGUGAGGUGAGUGGGGCUGAGAGACUUCAAAGAAGUGUGACUAGCCCAAGGUCACCCAGCAGCUGCAUGGGGAGGAGCAGAGACCCGAACCCGGUUCACCAGAUUAUGAGUCUACCGCUAUUAACCACUACCACCACACUGGCUCUCGCUACCCUUGGGAACAUAGGGUAGAGUAGAGUACUCCACAAGUAGAGUAUUGAGACUACUUUCCUCCUGCAUCAUAGCCUCCACCCUGCCACAGUUUCUAUUACCCUCAGGGGCACCAAUGGGGGUGUUCCUACCUUAGCUUCUAGAAGCCAGGAGACAACAGUUGUUGGAAAAUGUUCAGCUCCCCACCAUAUUGCAUUCCCAAGAAAAAUCACCUAGUACUAGAAUCGGAGGCUAAGUGCUCUCAUCAAAACAAUGGAAAUAUUACAGUCUCACAGCUUUCCUCCAGGAAUCUUGCCGCCUGUCGCUGGAAAUGGUAGGCUAGUGAGCCUCCACAGACUCUAUCUACUCAGGUCUCAUAGUUGCCUUCAAGUGCUGAAGAGAACAGGUUGUUCAAAGUGAUCCCUUGCAAUUAAUGAUGGUAUCUGUUUCUAGAUUUGCCAUGCCCGACAAAAGUAUGGGCUGUCUACUUUUCUUUGGUCAGCAGGACAGCACUUUCCAUUGGCUACACUUCAACCUCCAGAUUCAAUCUCAAGGUGUUGACUAUGGUGACUCUGAGAUGAAGUGCAUAUCCUCCAGAUGUUGGAUAUACUCUGGGUACAACCCAACAUGUCUAUCGCCUGGUUCUGACAGGUAGGCAAGUUAACCUAUGUUCCUUGGACCCUUCUCUCAAACACAGUUCAUUGCCUUCACCAAGGCUACCUAGUAAUAAGUGUUUUGAAGACAGCAAGCUAAGCAUUCCUCAAAUUAUUAUUUCUUUUGAAUUUUUGUGUCUGAGCUCCAACCUGGUCUUAGAAUUACUUACACUUCAGAACAACAGCAUGAUCCACCCCAUUGAUUUUCAUUAGAAAUGGUAAGUAACAAGCUUAACUUACCCACCUCACUGAAAUGAAUGGAUUUAAGAGUGUGUGGCUGGAUUAUGCCCUUAAGUAUAUAUUAUUUUCAUAUCACUUUUUGCUACACAAAUGGUUUUACAAUUUUCUCAACUAUGUGAGGUAGUGAUAUGCCCAAGACAAUGAUUUCCAUGCCAUUGAGACAGAUAAUAAUUUAUUGUAAGGAAUACGUCAUGCUGAAGUCAAUUCACCGGCAAAAAAUGUGGGUGGCUGCCCAUUUUGAUAAAAAUAUGACCAACUGUUUGGAUUAGCAUAAAGUAACUUGGGAAAUUUCUUGUGUUGCUUACUUUCUGAUGAGUAACAGCAUGCAGCAUUGCUAAGCUUGAUUAAGCAAAUUUAAUUGGUUGUCCUUAAUGCAUUCUUGCAAAUGUGAAAUAGUCCAUUUAAGUAUGGCUGUUAAUCUUUCAAUAAUUUGUAAGAAAUAAAAUAACUAACCAUG